UGAAACCAGUCAAACUUUGUGAAUUAACUGGAACUGAAAGCCUCUGCCUGACCCUCCACUUGAACUUGAACUAACUUAUCAAUGGGCUUAUCAAAACUUAUCAAAAUACUUGGAAUCCGAUGAAGAAUAUUCAGACGAAGAUCAGAUGUAAUGUAAACAAAUAAA